AUUGAACGCUGGCGGCAGGCCUAACACAUGCAAGUCGAGCGGGGUUUUCGGACCUAGCGGCGGACGGGUGAGUAAUGCGUAGGAAGCUACCCGAUAGAGGGGGAUACCAGUUGGAAACGACUGUUAAUACCGCAUAAUGUCUACGGACCAAAGUGUGGGACCUUCGGGCCACAUGCUAUCGGAUGCGCCUACGUGGGAUUAGCUAGUUGGUGAGGUAAUGGCACACCAAGGCGACGAUCCCUAGCUGGUUUGAGAGGAUGAUCAGCCACACUGGAACUGAGACACGGUCCAGACUCCUACGGGAGGCAGCAGUGGGGAAUAUUGGACAAUGGGCGCAAGCCUGAUCCGGCCAUGCCGCGGGUGUGAAGAAGGCCUGCGGGUUGUAAAGCACUUUCAGUAGGGAGGAAGCGUUGUGUGUUAAUAGUACACAGCGUUGACGUUACCUACAGAAGAAGCACCGGCUAACUCUGUGCCAGCCGCCGCGGUAAAAC
rnacentral:rRNA from 1 species